rnacentral:rRNA from 1 species
UACAGAGGGUGCGAGCGUUAAUCGGAAUUACUGGGCGUAAAGCGUGCGUAGACGGCUAUCUAAGUCGGGUGUGAAAGCCCCGGGCUCAACCUGGGAAUUGCAUUCGAGACUGAAUAGCUAGGGUGCGGUAGAGGGAAGCGGAAUUUCCGGUGUAGCGGUGAAAUGCGUAGAUAUCGGAAGGAACGUCGGCGGCGAAAGCGGUGCACUGGCUGAUUUCUGACGCUGAGGUGCGAAAGCCAGGGGAGCAAACGGG